rnacentral:rRNA from 1 species
UACGUAGGGUGCGAGCGUUGUCCGGAAUUAUUGGGCGUAAAGAGCUCGUAGGCGGUUUGUCGCGUCGACUGUGAAAACCCGAGGCUUAAGCUCGGGCCUGCAGUCGAUACGGGCAGACUAGAGUUCGGUAGGGGAGACUGGAAUUCCUGGUGUAGCGGUGAAAUGCGCAGAUAUCAGGAGGAACACCGGUGGCGAAGGCGGGUCUCUGGGCCGAUACUGACGCUGAGGAGCGAAAGCGUGGGGAGCGAACAGG